GGGAGGAUAAAUUAUAUUAUAGUAGCAAUAAUAGUGCCUAAAAUCUUUUAAAGAAUUUUACCGACGAUUUAUGGUUGGUGCGCGGUUGGUUAUUUUUAUUAAUUUUUAUAAGUGUUUGAGUGUUCAUUGUAACGAAACUGUAUCGCUUUUUAAACGUUUAUUUCACUUACGUUAUUUUUUUUUUUUUAUUUUUUGGUUCGGACGCCGUUUUAGACAUAAACCACAAUACAAUUUUCUACUUACCGUAUGUAUAUAACGAUAUAGAUUGUAAAUACUCGUAUGUAACAAGUAGUGCUACAGAAUCGAAAUAGUGAAACAUGAUUUUGUAUAUGGAAUCGUCACCACAUUAGACUAUAUAUAUUUUUGUUAACGUGAUGACUAUUAAAAUAAAUGGAUCUGUGAUAAUUAAAAUAAUAUGAAAUAAAUUAUGUUUAACUGUGAAUA
rnacentral:misc_RNA from 1 species